rnacentral:rRNA from 1 species
AUUGAACGCUGGCGGAAUGCUUUACACAUGCAAGUCGAACGGCAGCACGGGGCGACCUGGUGGCGAGUGGCGAACGGGUGAGUAAUACAUCGGAACGUGCCCAAUCGUGGGGGAUAACGUAGCGAAAGUUACGCUAAUACCGCAUACGAUCUACGGAUGAAAGCGGGGGAUCGCAAGACCUCGCGCGAGUGGAGCGGCCGAUGUCAGAUUAGGUAGUUGGUGGGGUAAAGGCUCACCAAGCCAACGAUCUGUAGCUGGUCUGAGAGGACGACCAGCCACACUGGAACUGAGACACGGUCCAGACUCCUACGGGAGGCAGCAGUGGGGAAUUUUGGACAAUGGGCGCAAGCCUGAUCCAGCCAUUCCGCGUGCAGGAUGAAGGCCUUCGGUUGUAAACUGCUUUGUACGGUAACGAAACGGACGGGCGUCUAAUACAGUUGCUAAUGACGGUACCGUAAGAAUAAGCACCGCUAACUACGUGCCAGCAGCCGCGGUAAAGUAC